UUUUUAUAUUAUCAAACCGAAAGUUACAAAGGCUACCCUGAGUCACAGGUGUGACCCUACCGCUAGGAGCUAAGAAUGAGUUCCAAACACCCAAAGAACAUGUCGGAGAAUUGUACCUGGUUCUGUUCUAUAGAUAUAGGGACAUCAUAUUCUGGAUAUGCCUUUGCUCCAAGGAAAAAUUUGACAACAAAAUCGUGCUUCAUAUAUGGUAUUUGGGAAUACGAGACAUCGUCCCACAAGAUACCAACUACUCUCCUGUUUGACCAAAAUGAAAAGUUCGUUGCCUUUGGACACGCUGCAGACAAAAAGUAUACAAAACUUUGUGAAAAAAAAGAAAAUGAUAAAUGGUUUUAUUUUCGAGACUUCAAAAUGGAGCUUUAUAACUGUGAUGUAUCAAAGGACCUUUUGAUUCGGGACAUUCAUGAAAAGUCCUUUAAAGCCCAGCAGAUCUUUGUUGAAUCAAUCAGAUUUCUGCGAAAACAUUUCUUGGACAAAUUUGAAUCGCGUAACUACGACAUACUAGAAGAUGAUGUUUGUUUCAUUCUCACAGUGCCUGCAAUAUGGAGUGAUGCUGCAAAACAGUUUAUGAAAGAAGCGGCCAUUGAGGCAGAGAUCUCUGAAACUCGCCUUAUGAUGGCUUAUGAACCCGAAGCCGCUGCAGUCUUUUGUAAGCGUCUUACAAGAGAUCUGAUGGCUGCAAAUGACAAUCCAGUGCAUUUUGCUAUACAACAAUCCUAUAUUGUGGUAGAUUUAGGAGGUGGAACUGUAGAUAUUACGGUACAAAAGAUUUCAUCGACAGGAAUUUUACAUAAUUUGUACAAAGCUUCGGGAGGUGAGUGGGGAGGAAACAAAAUUAAUAAAGCCUUCAUGAAACUACUAGAUCAACUUUUCGGAUCAUACACAAUUCAGAAACUCUGCGAAGUCAAUAUGGAAGACUUUUUUGAUUUAAUACGGAAAAUUGAAACUGCAAAAAGAGAGGUUACUACCGAUGAAACUGAGACAGUAAAAAUAGACAUUCCCCUGUCACUCCUUGAGAUACAUUCUGAAAUCUGUAAACUCACAGGUCUGGAUUGCCUUAACAAAGCGAUAGAGGACGCUGAAUUACAAGAUAAGAUUGAGGCAAAACUAGGAAAGAUUUUCAUUAAAAAUGCUUAUUUC
rnacentral:misc_RNA from 1 species